CUUUAUCUCCAGGCUCCUUUCACAUUGCUUAGCUCCCUUUAUUCUUGCUGAUCUUGGCGCCCCACAACUCCCUUCCUACUCUGAGCUGCUGUUUCCCCGCUGCUCCAGCCCGCUGUGUCAGCUGUAAGCACUCUACGGACUGCAGUUUGUGGUCCCCAGAACGUGCAUAGAAUUUGCUUUCCAAUCAUGGAUCUUCCUUCUGUCGUGAUGUUCUAAAACCUUGGCCUGCUUGCCUGUUACCGGGUUCUCGCCCUGACCUACACCUGAGCCUCUCCAGGGAGCUUUUCUUAAGCAGGUGGAUACCCUGGUUACACCCCAGAGCAGCUUAGUUAGAAUCUGAGAGUGUGCCCCAACACUGGGGCUUUGAAAAAAAACUCCUCAAAGGGUGCAGCAAGAUGGCACACCUGGUAAAGACAUGUGGCCUGCAAAACCCUGGGGACCUAAAUUCCAUGCCCGGAAACCACAAAGUGGAAAGGAAGAACACAGUGCCAUACAUUUUCCUCAGACCCCUCGCUCCCCAUCCCCACUAAAUAAAUAAACAUUGCCCGGAUUGGCUCAGAUGUGAAACCACGUUGAGAAUCUCAGCACCCAGCACCAAGAAAACAUCAUGUUAUAGAGAGAUUGAGUCACACCUAAGGCCCAGUCCAGUCAUUGUUUCAACGCCACCUGCUCAACCCUUAUGACUCAAGUGGCCUUCCCCUCCCCCCUCCUCUAGAUAACCUGACCCUCAUUCUCUUGGUCUAUGGAUAUCUAGGGAGCCGCUUUAAGAGCCUGCUCUGUGCUAAGGAGCUGGAGAAGAAGGAAGUAAGAAGAAAAAAGGAAAGCUCUUUCUUUGGGGGACAUAGCAAAAUGGAGCCCCAAGAUUUCUGUUUCCCAAGACAUCCAUACAAGAUCGCUAAGCUGAGCUUACCAGAUCUAUAGUUGUCCUGAGCACCUACUAUGUUCAAGAACUUCUGGACCCAAGGACCAUGAGACAGAAAAGCAGACAGGAUGCCUAAAAGACAAGGUUCCUUUCUACCCAAGCCUGGUAGACUCCUCCCCAUGGAUUCUGAAGAACAACUACGGUUGGUGACUGUAAUCUCUAAGAGGAAGAACAGAUGGAAGCGCCUUCCUUUCCUUAGGCCCCAGAGACAUCCUGACAGAGUCUAGCUGAGCAUCCUACUGGCAAACAUGUCUGGAACAAAGUCCCAAAACUGUGAUGGACCACCCUAGGCUUCCUGAAGCAUUGGGAACCACCAGAGCUACAAAGCCAACACUCAUUCAGGACAGAUGUUGGUCACUCUGGAUUCUAGGCGGGGGAGUCAGAGGAGUACAGAUUUUAGAAGCCUUGAAUUCACUAUGUAGAUAAGAAUGACCUGAACUUCAGACCCUCCUGUCUUCAAGUCUAAUGUGCAAGCAUUGCAGUCUAUGAGGCCCUUCUCGGAACACUGUUCAUCUUCACCCACGUGCUUUGAUGUGCUUUUCUCUGGAUAUUCUGCUGUGUGGACCUGGCUCUGCCUUUUGCACAGAGUUGUUUCAAACAGAUGGCCUGAUGUCAGAAUGAAACUCACGUGUGCCUCUUCUUUUGACUACAGAUUUUAUCUGAGCAUGGAUGUCAGGACCUGUUGUGGCGAGUAGAACUAUGGCAAGCAAGAAACCCACAGUCAACAGUCCUGUCUUUAGCCUCCUUGAUGUCACAUGGAGUCCUCAGGAGAGGCUAGGCCUGGAGCCAUCGGAACAAGCUGCAACAGGAACAUGAAGAUCUCAACCGAGAGGGCAGAUGUGAUGCCAAGCUCCACAAGCUGAACCCAAGGGUUGAGACACUGAGCUAUGCAGAUUAGCCUACCAUUACCUCACUGGACACACCAUGAGCUUUUCUCCCCUGGCCCCCAGUGCCUGUAGGCAGAUCAGUGAUGGUUGACUUUGGGGGACUCAUUUCUCCAGCUUUGUUAAAUCAAGUCAAUGCAUCUUAAUGACCCAAGAACUUGGAGUUGGGCCUGUGCCAAUCUCACUGUAGCCCAUCCAAGGAUCAUAAACCUCUGAGAGGAGAGUGAGAGGUGGGUAAGGAAAAGUCUUCCUAGAGAGGGACUGUCUCACUGGUGCUGUCAACAAGCAACCCUCACAAGGUGAUGGCUUAGAGAAAGAAAUUAGUGACAUGAGUAGGCAUUGGUGGCAAAUGGAGUUUACCCUAGGACCCAAGCUGGUGGAGGGUCCAAUUUGUCACCUCUGCCAAAAUGGAAGAAGGGGGCACUACGCACUGGUCAUGUGUUGAUAAAACUUCCAUUCAGAAAAAAAAAUUAACAAAAAAAUUAUGUGACACUUUUUUUUGCAUACAUUGACCCCAGUAACUCAGCUGACCCCAACAAGUGUUCAAAUGACAGUAAACUGGAAUUUCACCUCGUGUCCCACCAAGGCCUGCAAACAUAGUGUAAUCAGCAUAAGUGAGUUCCCUGGGAAGGGCAAUGGCUCCUCAGGUUCUUCUGAUGGUCUUUCCCUCUGAGACUGUUAAAGGUGGAAUGGGACAUUGACUGCCUGCCCCUAAUCUCAGGAGGAAGGACUAGCACUUUGGAAACCACUUUUGAGAAGUGUGACCUAGACUGUGCUAACCAUAUCAAGGGCCUGCUGAAUAGGAGAAAUUAACAUGGGUCCUUGGUCAUUAGACCUACCUCAGAGGUUAAAGGAAAGGGAUUAGACACUCUCAAGUCAUUGGAACACUCAUGUUCUCAGAGCUUGUGGCUUCUUUUUGUCAUUCAACAUAUGUUGGUAGAUGUUGGUCUAGAUUCUCAAUGAACCAGUUGGCCAAUUCUGUGGCCACCCAUUCUUUUCAUUAUUUUAUAACAGUGCAGGAGUGGUCUUGCUGUACAAGGUAAGCUAAAUGGUAUGGAG